AAGAGAGCGCUGGUGAAGGAUGACAAAGACAAUGAUGGACACCUCAAGUGGGAGACACGAGGCCCAGAGCCGGACUGGAUGUGAGAGAAACAAGACAUUGCGCUUCAGUACGACUUUGAGGUAACCCUGCCUUCAUCACUGCUGCCAUGUCCUCCACCAGUGUCUGAUCAUAAGAAUGCAUAAGGUUGUGGGUUCUGUCAACGCCUUGAGCUGCAAGCGGUUGAGAGAAACGCUGGCGAUACAGUUGGUGGAGAAAAGAAAAUCAUGUGUGAAUGUUGAUCUUAGAGAACAGCAGAGUUUGCACCAGUAGUUGGGUGGGGAAGAGAGGAUUGAACCAAUGGCAGCUAGGGCUGCCUCGUCAGCCGCAGUGGUGGGAUUGGCAGGAUGCACCUCAGCUCCCACAAGAGCCAGGCAGGCUUUGAAGCGUCAGCUUCAGCGUCUGCUCCAGUGUAGGGUCCACGCGCCUGGGGUUCAUUCGUCGGUAGCUUCAGCCUCGUCCGAUGAAGUCUCGGAGAAUGAAGUCAAGGCAGUAGAUAAGGCAGUCGGCCGUUGCAGUCAGCUGGGGCGGACACGGGGUGGCGCGGGACUCGCUUUCGUCUUUGGACAACCGGAACCCUGGUUGUACUCUACCGGGUAAGUGCAGAAAUUGUUCAUUUCUCAGUUCUGUCUAACCUCCAACUUCCCAACAGGUCCAGAGAUGCUGUGCUAGCUUCACAGACAUGUGGCCUAACUGUUCUUCCAAACCCGAGAACAUGUUCAUUUCUCUACUAGGUCUUUGCAGGCCCCAAACCCAGGUCUGUCUAACCAUUGUUCUGCCAAGUAAGUGGAGAAAAUGUUCAUUUCUUGGCCUUCAAAACCCUAUCCUCUUAUGUCACCACACAUGUGCUUGCCAGGUCUGUCUGACCUUCUCAGACAUGUGGCCUUUUUCUGCCGGGUGAGUAGAGAAAGAAUACAUUUCCUCACCCUACUAACACUUUCACGCAAACUCUAUCGUCUUAUGUGCUUGUCUGACUCGGUUUGGGCUCCACAAACUAGCUGUCCCAGUCUCAUAAAGACAGGGCCCAAAAUAUCUUAACCCUGGGGACCUACUCUUCCCCUUUUUAUGUCAAAUUAGCUUUCCUUUUCACCUGCCCCCAACCACCUCAUUAACACUUAGUCUCCAUGUCCUAGACCUUUCUAUUGCAAAUGACACCCUACUAAUCCUGUCUUUUCUCUCAGGCACAGGUUCCAGCAGCUGUCCGACUGACUCGACGAGACCAAACUCCUUCAUCAGAUCUUUGCCAUCAACUUGUACUUACUUGACUCUUGUUGUUCUGCCAAAUGAAAUGUACUGUGUAACUCUGCCGAGUCCAUUAAAAUUCUGCACG